rnacentral:rRNA from 1 species
CAGGCUUAACACAUGCAAGUCGAGGGGCAGCAUGGUCUUAGCUUGCUAAGGCCGAUGGCGACCGGCGCACGGGUGAGUAACACGUAUCCAACCUGCCGUCUACUCUUGGACAGCCUUCUGAAAGGAAGAUUAAUACAAGAUGGCAUCAUGAGUCCGCAUGUUCACAUGAUUAAAGGUAUUCCGGUAGACGAUGGGGAUGCGUUCCAUUAGAUAGUAGGCGGGGUAACGGCCCACCUAGUCUUCGAUGGAUAGGGGUUCUGAGAGGAAGGUCCCCCACAUUGGAACUGAGACACGGUCCAAACUCCUACGGGAGGCAGCAGUGAGGAAUAUUGGUCAAUGGGCGAGAGCCUGAACCAGCCAAGUAGCGUGAAGGAUGACUGCCCUAUGGGUUGUAAACUUCUUUUAUAAAGGAAUAAAGUCGGGUAUGCAUACCCGUUUGCAUGUACUUUAUGAAUAAGGAUCGGCUAACUCCGUGCCAGCAGCCGCGGUAAUACGGAGGAUCCGAGCGUUAUCCGGAUUUAUUGGGUUUAAAGGGAGCGUAGAUGGAUGUUUAAGUCAGUUGUGAAAGUUUGCGGCUCAACCGUAAAAUUGCAGUUGAUACUGGAUAUCUUGAGUGCAGUUGAGGCAGGCGGAAUUCGUGGUGUAGCGGUGAAAUGCUUAGAUAUCACGAAGAACUCCGAUUGCGAAGGCAGCCUGCUAAGCUGCAACUGACAUUGAGGCUCGAAAGUGUGGGUAUCAAACAGGAUUAGAUACCCUGGUAGUCCACACGGUAAACGAUGAAUACUCGCUGUUUGCGAUAUACAGCAAGCGGCCAAGCGAAAGCGUUAAGUAUUCCACCUGGGGAGUACGCCGGCAACGGUGAAACUCAAAGGAAUUGACGGGGGCCCGCACAAGCGGAGGAACAUGUGGUUUAAUUCGAUGAUACGCGAGGAACCUUACCCGGGCUUAAAUUGCAGAUGAAUUACGGUGAAAGCCGUAAGCCGCAAGGCAUCUGUGAAGGUGCUGCAUGGUUGUCGUCAGCUCGUGCCGUGAGGUGUCGGCUUAAGUGCCAUAACGAGCGCAACCCUUGUUGUCAGUUACUAGCAGGUUCUGCUGAGGACUCUGACAAGACUGCCAUCGUAAGAUGUGAGGAAGGUGGGGAUGACGUCAAAUCAGCACGGCCCUUACGUCCGGGGCUACACACGUGUUACAAUGGGGGGUACAGAGGGCCGCUACCACGCGAGUGGAUGCCAAUCCCCAAAACCUCUCUCAGUUCGGACUGGAGUCUGCAACCCGACUCCACGAAGCUGGAUUCGCUAGUAAUCGCGCAUCAGCCACGGCGCGGUGAAUACGUUCCCGGGCCUUGUACACACCGCCCGUCAAGCCAUGGGAGCCGGGGGUACCUGAAGUGCGUAACCGCGAGGAGCGCCCUAGGGUAAAACUGGUGACUGGGGCUAAGUCGUA